rnacentral:rRNA from 1 species
UUCGGCCAUAGUGGCGCACGGGUGAGUAACGCGUGGGAACCUGCCCAGCAGUGGGGAAUAACUUCGGGAAACCGGGGCUAAUACCGCAUACGCCCUUAGGGGGAAAGAUUUAUCGCUGUUGGAGGGGCCCGCGUCCGAUUAGUUUGUUGGUGGGGUAAUGGCCUACCAAGACUACGAUCGGUAGCUGGUCUGAGAGGAUGAUCAGCCACACUGGGACUGAGAUACGGCCCAGACUCCUACGGGAGGCAGCAGUGGGGAAUAUUGGACAAUGGGCGCAAGCCUGAUCCAGCAAUGCCGCGUGAGUGAUGAAGGCCUUAGGGUUGUAAAGCUCUUUCGGCGGGGACGAUGAUGACGGUACCCGCAGAAGAAGCCCCGGCUAACUUCGUGCCAGCAGCCGCGGUAAUACGAAGGGGACUAGCGUUGUUCGGAAUUACUGGGCGUAAAGAGCACGUAGGCGGUUCGUUAAA